rnacentral:rRNA from 1 species
UACGUAGGGUGCAAGCGUUGUCCGGAAUUAUUGGGCGUAAAGAGCUCGUAGGCGGUUUGUCGCGUCGAAUGUGAAAACCCGGGGCUCAACCCCGGGCCUGCAUUCGAUACGGGCAGACUAGAGUUCGGUAGGGGAGUCUGGAAUUCCUGGUGUAGCGGUGAAAUGCGCAGAUAUCAGGAGGAACACCGGUGGCGAAGGCGGUCUGCUGGGCAGUGGCUGACGCUGAGGCGCGACAGCGUGGGGAGCAAACAGG